AUGGACGCUGCCUUGCUUGAGAUACUUGUUCAUCAUCACAACAUGGGUGACCAUUCUCAAAAUGGAUGGAAAUCACAUGUGUACAGUGCAGCUAUCAAGAAUGUGAAGGAGAAGUGCAAUAAGGAUAUCACGAAGAACAACAUAUCAGGAAGGCUUAGGACUUUCGACAAUCAAUUUGAAAUCAUUAACAAGAUCCUUUCUCAAAGCGGUUUUGGUUGGGAUUGGGUCAAUAAUAAGCUAUCCAUUGAUAGCGACGAUGUGUGGACUAAAUAUUUGGAGAAGGAGAAAGCAUUAGCUUCUUACAAGACCAAAGUAGUGAAGCACUGGGAAGCCAUCUCUACGAUAUAUUCAAAAGAUCAUGCGGACGGUGAAGGUGCCAAGACAGGUGCUGAGACUGCUGCAGAUCUAGAAGAAACAAUUGAAGUCUCUCCAGAAACGGUACCAAAGAGACAACGAACAGGUGAUGCCAUUAUGUGCAUGAUUGGAGAAAUGAGGACUACUUUCAAGGAUGCUCUGAAGACAACUGAUCCACUUCCAUUGCCAAAGGUUACUACUCCUUCUGAAAUACUUGCUGCACUUGAGUUGAUACCAGAGUUGGCAGAAGUUGACAUGUUGCGCUCUUACGGAAAGUUGAUUCUUAAUGAGCGCUUGUUUGAAGCUCUAAUGGAGCUUCCCAUGCACAUGAGGAAGGCUUGGUUGCUAUUAUUGCCUUGA
rnacentral:rRNA from 1 species